rnacentral:lncRNA from 1 species
GAGCACAAUUUCCUUGUUGUGGCUUCAACAUGGCCGAAAUACGAUAAAAAGUAUGGUUCUCGGCUUAUGGCCACCGUGCAACUGUGUCCAGAGAUUAGGUCAGCAAUAACCAUAUUAAAGAGUUGAGUAAUGUCUUAUAAGACAUGUCUUAAGCUUUGUGUCCGCAAAUGAGGUCAACAGGAAUGACCUGGGUUCGUCAUUGAAAACACCC